CCUCCAUCCUGCUGUCUCCAUGGCGACCGUGGCUUUAGAUUGUUACUCUUUGCAAGAGCUCCAUGGUAACAGUCUACAGCCAUGGUCGUUAGGGGCAGGUGUCAUCAG
rnacentral:pre_miRNA from 1 species